UGCUUUGGGACUGUCAGAGGUGAAUGAUGCAGUACUUUUCUGUGUUGAAUUUACAUAACGUCAGUACACAGACAUAGUCUUGUUCCAGUUUUGCUGUGCUCAUGUCUUCUUUGUGUCCCCAGCACAGCAAUCAGAUGCAUCAGAAUAACAAAGCACAACUGUGGUGGCCCAGGAACCUUCAGCAACAAGUACAUUGCUUUAACAUUAAUGAUAAUGCAAUGUCAGUAUUGUAAUUAAACUUGACCCAUCUGACGUAAUUGUUCAUGCCAGAGAUUUAACAACACUGUCAGUCAGGAGCAUAUUUAACAGGAGCCACACUCAACUGGCUUGAUCGUGACUUCAGUGCAGUGAAGAUAUUUACACAGACACUAUCACGAUCUUAAGUACAGAAAGCCUUACAUCAUCUCUAGGUGCAGUCGCCUACAGUGCUGCCAGCUUCACAAAGACUGUGGGGCUGGUCACCGGGGAAAUGGACACCAGGGAGUGCUUUUGGGGUUUACUCCUCAGAUGACCACCCUGGCUACUGUAGCUGGGAUUGCUUCACAGAUGAUGGAGGUCUUGAAGAGUAAAGUGUGUGUGUGUGUGUGUGUGCGCACAUUGUGUUUUUACUGUAACAAUUAUGGUCACUUGCAGUUCAUGUGUUUUCUGUGUAGUGUAAGAUGUGUUUAUUAUUAUUAUUACUCAAAAACCAUUAAAACUUCUAAAUUGUGAAAGUUA